GACGAACGCUGGCGGCGUGCCUAAUACAUGCAAGUCGAACGCUUCCUACCGGUGCUUGCACCGGGAAAGAAGAGUGGCGGACGGGUGAGUAACACGUGGGUAACCUACCUACAAGCGGGGGAUAACAUUCGGAAACGGAUGCUAAUACCGCAUAGAUCUUUUUGUCUCCUGGCAGAAAGAAGAAAGACGGUUUCGGCUGUCACUUGUAGAUGGACCCGCGGCGCAUUAGUUAGUUGGUGAGGUAAUGGCUCACCAAGACGAUGAUGCGUAGCCGACCUGAGAGGGUGAUCGGCCACACUGGACUGAGACACGGCCCGGACUCCUACGGGAGGCAGCAGUAGGGAAUCUUCCGCAAUGGACGAAAGUCUGACGGAGCAACGCCGCGUGAGUGAAGAAGGUUUUCGGAUCGUAAAACUCUGUUGUUAGAGAAGAACAAGGAUGAGAGUAACUGCUCGUCCCUUGACGGUAUCUAACCAGAAAGCCAUGGCUACUACGUGCCAGCCGCCGCGGUAA
rnacentral:rRNA from 1 species